UUACCCGCUGAACUAA
rnacentral:rRNA from 1 species